GGAAAAGAAAUCAACCGAGAUUCCCCCAGUAGCGGCGAGCGAACGGGGAGGAGCCCAGAGCCUGAAUCAGCAUGUGUGUUAGUGGAAGCGUCUGGAAAGGCGCGCGAUACAGGGUGACAGCCCCGUACACAAAAGCGCAUGUGCUGUGAGCUCGAUGAGUAGGGCGGGACACGUGGUAUCCUGUCUGAAUAUGGGGGGACCAUCCUCCAAGGCUAAAUACUCCUGACUGACCGAUAGUGAACCAGUACCGUGAGGGAAAGGCGAAAAGAACCCCGGCGAGGGGAGUGAAAAAGAACCUGAAACCGU
rnacentral:rRNA from 1 species